CGAUUCGCCCCCCUCCUUUCCUUAUUAUUUUCCCUUUCUCCCACCAUUUUUUUACAUAAACGGCCACCACUCCACCACCGAGUGCCAACGCACGCUACCUCCGCAUGCCGUCGCACACUACCAUUGGAACCGCGACUCGGGACACAAUUUCAUUGCAUUGUUCUAAGUUGAAGGAUACCUAGUGAUGUCAUUGCAACUAUAAAGGCUCGUUUACAGACGAUCAAGAAGGGUGAAAAAGUAGGCCAAUUAAAAUUGUUUUACAAAAGUCACUUCUCAGAGAAUGAUGGAUGGAUAAGCGAAGCCGCCAAAAAAGCAUAUAGGAGAUUAGAAAGUCAUCACAAGAUGGGGGUUGAACCAACAACGAAGAAAAUUAUUUGUGAACGAGUUUUGGAAAAACGAUCAAGCCACACUAAAGGUCUUGGAUUGAACCCAAAACCCAAUUUAGCUACAUCUUCCUCACAAAUUGAGAAAGAUAUUGGGAAUAAGUAUGAAAAGCUUGAGGCGGAGGUGAUAAGCUUAAAGGAGGAAAAUGUCACGUUGAUGUCAAUAGUUUCGGGUUUUCAAGAUCAAUUGACUGAAAUCACAAGACAGUUAGGUGCGCAACAAAAGUAAGGAGAUGGACCUUCGAACAACUAGGUACAUUAUGACAACUUUCAGUUCUUAGUUAGUGGAUUUAGAAACUUAAUUUGGUUGUUGUGUGGUUAUCCUGUAGUUAUAGUAGCCACUUCAAAUAUAAGCGUUUUAGUGGAUUUAGGAACUUCAUUUGUUUGUUUUGUGGCUAUCCUGCACUAAUGGUAGCCACUUUAAAUAUGUGUGUUUUUGUGUACUUGUUACCACCUUGUGGUUUAAAUGGCAUUUAGGUGGAACUAGGACACGUUCGUAGCAUGGGGAGGGGGGGAGGAAAGAUGUAUAUGUUGUAAUUGUUUUUUAGAUUAUCUAGAAGUCUAAUUGUGCACUUUAAAGGAACUUUGUUCUUAGAUUUAUUGUAGGGAUCCAAGAGUUUAAUUAUAUCAUUUUAGAACUAUCGAAUGACGGGUUUAUCCUUGAAAGAAAUUUAGGUGGAUUUAGGAAGGAAUUCACUUCAAUGCUUUUUAUGUAUUUGUUGCUACUUUGUGGUUUAAAUGACGUUUAGGUGGAACUAGGACACAUUUGUAACUUUGUAGCUUAAGAGAGA